CAUAAGCACAUGGCAGCUCAGUGGAUAUACAAAAGCAGCCCAAGGGGAAAGCCCAAGGCAAAGCUUGAAAAGGACACAGUGGACAACAGUUGUGUUAUUCAGUACUUGGUGAUCUCCCUCCGCAUGGAGGCGAAGUGGCAAAUGGAAGGAGGCCAUCAUUCGUCAAUGAGAUGCUGUGGAGCAACGAGAAGGCAAGUGUACCUGCUGAGCAGGACCGCGGCUUGAUAGCGGCAGAUAUCCAUGGUUGGAAGCUGGCGAUGGACCUGGCAAAAGCUGUGAUUAGCAUGUGGAAGCCCAGGAUGCCGCAGGGCUGAAGGAGGCUGAAGUUUGUGCACGUAAGUUGGUUGAAAUGCACCUUCAGAAGGCCAUUGACAAAAGCUGUGUGGAUAUUUGUGGGCUGAUGCUGGGGUAAGUAUGAAUGGAGAGUGUGGACAUAGGUCACCCACCAGACCCAGGUAUGCCUGGGUAUUGCAUGUUCAGAUAGCGGUGUAGGCUGCCCUCCAGGCUCUGGGUGAAUGAACCACUGGAUGUUUAUGGGUGGAAGCCAGCGAAGGUUGGCAGGCUGGCCAGUGGAGGUGGCUGGAUGAUAAUUGUUGAAUGAGGGCCAUUCCCCUCACCGUAUCUGUGUUUGCCUUUCAUGGAUAUUCACAAGCCGACAAGGCUUUCCCCAAAAGCAGCAAUGAAGGGGACAGCAGAGCUUAAGCAAGCCAUCUUCUACUUCUAAAUCAAGGUAUUUCUAAAUACAUCUAACUAAUGCUCAUGACAUUCCCCUUUCCAGUACCAGGAUAGGAGGCUGUGCAGAUGCAUCCCUAAGCAGUUCCCACGGGCUACAAACUUCCUGUGAUGUCACAAAUGGGCGGGGUGGCUGAGGGGAAAGAGGCUGUUUCUAGUGGGAGGCGGCUGGAAGAAGGGAGAAACCCUAGUAGAAGGUUCAGGGGAAGUUGGGUAGGUAGGCAGGGCCAGCUGGAUAUGCAGAAGUUGAAUAUGGUCUGACUCCCUUGUCUAUUUGCGUUGCCAACAUUUUGUUCUCUCAUGGCUCCUGUACCUGUCUCACCUAGAUUGCUUGGCAAGAGCCCCAGCCCUUUAAUGGUUCCUGCAGAGCACCCGCAAUAUAUAUAUAUAUAUAUAUAUAUAUAUAUAUAUAUAUAUAUAUAUUCAACCAGGCCUGUUGAUUGAUAGCUGGGCUCUAAACUGAUGGCUAACAGGCCAAGAUCAAAAGCAUUUUGAAACAAGAUAUUAAAUGUUAAAUAAUAUUCAACAUUAAGUUUCCUCUCAAACGUGUAACAUUAGUGGAACUCCAGAGCAUACAGAAAUUUGCUCCAGAGGAGCCACUCUCCUCCCUCUUGCAAUGGAGAGUGGAAACGGGGGGGGGGGGGGGGGCCCGACAAUGCAUAAUUCCGAUACACUGCUACUGCUGUUAAUCUAAUCAUUUGCAUUUUAAUAGUUGGGUUGUUAUUUCUUUUCUGUUUGCUUUUUAUCCCUAAGUCAAUUUGAGCAGCUCCUUUGUGAAGGAGGAAAGCAGGCUAUUCAUUUUAUAAAUUAACUGCAUUCAGCUGUGUCUUUGAAAUUCAACCCCCUCUGUGCCCGCUUUAAACUCUGUAACAAGCACACAAGCGUCACACUUUGCUGAAGCUAAAGCAGAUCACAUUAUGUUCUUCUCCAGGAACAGUGACCACAUACAUGCCACCUUGGGUUCCAAGAUGGAAGAACAUGCUUGAUAAUUUUAAGGAGUGAGGAAUACAGUCAGCAUUGGCUGGAGACCUGCUCCUAACAGUCACAACCCCAACACUUGUCUUGUUUCAUACUCUCUCUUUUUCAACAUACCAGUCCUAAACUGCGUCAGGGCUCCUUACAGCUACUUUUGUAAACAAGGAGAUGUGGCCAGUCUAGGCGUGUUUUUGAAUCACAUUGUUAAAGUCAUAUCUAGUUAGACCCAGAAGAGAUUACCUUCUUGGUCUCUUUUGUACUAAGAGAAUACAGCGAGAAUAUCUGCUUUGCUAAACACUUUAUGCUUCUGGCAUAAAUAGACAUUUUAAAAAAUUCAUGGCUGAAGUUUGUUGCUGGUUUCUGAGAUAAUGCAGUAAAUUCUUCUCCGCAUAAAAGUGUCACUUUUACAAAUGAAAAUUAAGAUGAUUUGUAGCAUAUUACAAUUGCAAUUAAGCUAUAAUGAGUCCCCCCAAAUUACACAUGAUGUAGGUUCUCAUUAUAUAAUAUAAACACUUCUUUACUGGGUUUCCUUUUCUUGGCUUAUGGUGUUUUGCAUCUGCCUUUUCAAUUUCCAAAGAAUGCAAUAACCUGAAACAUAUCGAAUGCAUAGCAUAUGCUCCGAGUGGUAUAAUAAAUGUUAUUUGAAAUGAAAUUUCCUUGAGCCAUGAAGCUUGAUCCUGUCCAUGAUUAUGUGGAAGUAAGUCUCACUGAGUUCAACAGAAGCUACUUCCUAGUAAGCAAUCACAGGACUAUGGCCAUAAUAGCUCAAUUCCAUUUCAAUUUAAGUAACAAAAUAGGGUGGUUUUGUUCCUCCCUGAUCCCAUUAUUCUCACUAAUACCACUUGUUCUGGAUCUUGCCAUCUUGUGCUUUCAAUACAUGGCAGCCCUUCUCAGAUGUUCGAAGGAAUGUGGAUAAGUCAGCGAAGGAGCCUGACUGCCACCACAAUGCUGUACUCCCACCCUGAACAUUCCUUUCACUCUAUGACAGGGGUGAGGAGCUUCCAGCCACAGGCCUAGUUAGACACAGCAUUUGGCCCAGUUUGGCCCACAAGUCCAUAUUCUCCAGACCAUGCCCAUCUACACCACAGCUGAUGUCAUCAGGCAUGCAUGGGGCAGGUGAGGAUGUGGCUCCAAAGGAAGAACGGGGAGCUUAAAGCAAGUUCCUGAUUGCUCCUUCGCAAGUGAGGCUUGCUGGCUGCGCUGACACUGAGCCCAGCUAGGAUCAGCUGCACUAGGAAGUUCCCCACUAGGAACUCCUCAAUAGGGAACUCCUUAAUGCAGCUGUUGACUGGUAAUUGCAGUGAGCUGCUUUGAAAACAGAUUGCCAACACAGAUCAGCUUGAUGGAUCAGCAGUUACAGUGAGCCCCUUUGAAGUUGCCACCUGACAUCAUAAUGGGGGGGAAAGACAAAAUACCUUAUGAAAUCACUAAUAGUCAUAUUAGACAAUACUGGGCUUGAUGAAUUUAACAUCCUUGUUACGCUUCAGCAUAAUUUCUAUAAACACCACCUUUUCUUGAAUACAAAUUUGGAUAUUUGGAUGGUAUCUAUAUGUGUCAACUAAGAUGGGUGCAUUGAUGUUUAAAUGUAUUCUUAGUGUGAGCUGACAUUCUCAUGACUUUUGAAAUUAUUAUUUAGUUUUAAGUUUUCUUCUUUCAUGAAUUUGCAAUAAAAACCAACCAACCAAAAAACCCAGCCUCCAUCCAUUGGGGAAACAGGCAGUUGGUAACUUGUGUUGUUCAAGUCGUAACUAGAAAGGCAGAUAUAAAAAUAUAUCUAAUAAAGAAAGUAUGCAAAGUUGCUAUGCAACAUGGCCCCAGAGAGACAUACCCUGCACCUCUGCUGUCAUGUAUUGGAAACAGAGGAGCAGAGGAGGGAAAGAACUGGAUCCAGCUCAGGGGAGAGGUGGUGAGAUGUCCGCAUUGUCAGAGCUGUGGAGGAGCGCUGAGUGGCAGUAAUCACUGUGGUAUGAUUACAGGAUGUUGGGGGGUGAUGGAGAGGCAGCAGCAAGUGGGUGACCUCAGACAGCAAUGUAUCUUGGGCCUUCGCCGUCUUUCCCAUAGGACUUAGUGGUGCAUUGUGCCAGGGCGUCGGCCUCUCAGGGGCAUGCCAGCCAGCUACUAUAUGGCUGGCGGAUGUGCAGCUUCCCUCCCAAGCCUCUGCGGGGAUUGUUCUCCUGCAGCGGCAUGGGGGAGAGUUGCGGUCCCCCCCCCCGAUGGCUGGCAGUGCUCAGCUUCACCCCCCCCCCACUAUCCGUGGUAAUUUGGGGGCGCUGGGCGGAUAUUUGCACCCUGGCAUUGCAUCUGCUAAAGACAGCCCUGCCAGGCAGGAAUAUAUAUUUCAGUCAUCUCUCUUUCACUCUCCCUCCACUUGACCAAAUUGAAAACUGCAAAUUGCUAUUUCUGCAGGCACAGAAAUCACCCAUCUUCUCUAUCACUUUACCCACAUUUUGCUAUUUCACUUAAAAUGCCCACAGAAGAUCUGCAGAUCUCAGGGGACCAUCUCCUCACAAUUAGGUUCCAGGAAGAGCCAUUAUGUGCUGUUAGGAAACAAUUUCCCUGACAGAAGGAUGUGGUUGGCCAGCUUUAACAGCAUAACGCAUGGAAGUUUACGCAUUAUCAUGUACAGCUUUUGCCAACAGUUCACAAUGGCUGAGACUGAUGUGAGUUGCUGUCCAAAAUAUCUGGAGGACACAAGGUUGGCAAAGAUGAUCUACUAACUUUUACAAAAUCCCCCCCCCCUUAAAUUCACAAUGUUUUGCAGCAGAAGUAAUAGCUCUCUCACUAGUAAUGAGAAGGCAGGCAGUUAUAAAAGAGCAGCAAAGGGAUCUUUGUUACCUUGGCAUUCUGCUUGCUUGUUAUUCUUAUGGGAAAAGAUUUGGUAAUUACAAAAAGAGAAGUAAGCAAAGGUACUAAGACAGAAAAAGGGCAAAUAACAGAAAGAAAUCCCAAUAACGGAUGAAACACUUACCAGGGGCUGUGAGGCAAUGCAGAAAGAAAGCUCUACCUGGCAAUUGUUGCAGAGAGGUCAACUAAACAAUUAUAUGUAAAAAGCACUUGGAGGAGGGCAACCAAAAUGGUCAAAGGCCUGGAAAUGAUGCCUUAUGAGGAACGGCUAAGGGAGCUGGGCAUGUUUAGCUUGGAGAAGAGGAGGUUAAGGGGUGAUAUGAUAGCCAUGUUCAAAUAUAUAAAAGGAUGUCACAUAGAGGAGGGAGAAAGGUUGUUUUCUGCUGCUCCAGAGAAGCGGACACGGAGCAAUGGAUCCAAACUACAAGAAAGAAGAUUCCACCUAAACAUUAGGAAGAACUUCCUGACAGUAAGAGCUGUUCGACAGUGGAAUUUGCUGCCAAGGUGUGUGGUGGAGUCUCCUUCUUUGGAGGUCUUUAAGCAGAGGCUUGACAACCAUAUGUCAGAAGUGCUCUGAUGGUGUUUCCUGCUUGGCAGGGGGUUGGACUCGAUGGCCCUUGUGGUCUCUUCCAACUCUAUGAUUCUAUGACAAAAGGAUAUGUAUUGAAUUAGAGGGGAGAGAGAGAGAGAGAGAGAGAGAGAGAAUAUUGGAAACCUGAAAGAAUACCAGACAAGACUGCCUGCUUUAGAUGCUACUUUUUCCUCAGUUCUGACUCCAGCUUUGAAAAGCCUUUGGGCAAAGUGCCGCUGGUUGAGGCCCCUCAUGCAUUAUUAGUUAACUGUGGAGGACUGAUCUGGAAGCCACGCUGGGCAGCAGAGCUCCAUAGCAGCAGCCCGUGGCCUGGAUUAGGCCCACUGUUUAAAUGUCUCACAAUGCCUCAGAGUGAUGCAACAUGGCGUUAUAGCGGGAAAUUAUUUUCACAAGACCAAGUUGUCCUAUACUGUUCUGUGUAUAAAGGUAAUCUGAGCUUGGUUCUCAGGUGUUCACAAACAACUCAGUGUGCGCUUUGGUUAUAUAGUGGGCACUUGUGACUCUGGACUUAGUUUUGCCAAGCAUUUGCCUACAGCUAACGUGCCACUCGGUUGGCAUUUGUCGCAAGGGAAACAAAUACACACUGCUUCCUGUUCAGCUUCCUUGAGGCUACUUUUAGGAACAAGAAGUUCCACUCUCCUGCCAUUUCUCUUUCAUAAGUCUCUACACUGAGAUAUAAAUGUCGUUUUAAAAACUUCUUUUAAAAAGCUCUCUUACAAGUCAUGGAUAUGUCUGAAGAAAUACAAACAUAUUAUAUUCAUAUAUUUGUGCACUAGGACAUGUAAAACAUAUUUAAUCAACCAGGACAUUGCCUGCAGGUCCUGCAGUCUGAGUUGUAUCAUGCGAAAAAGGGAUGUCAUACACUGCAGAGGUAAAACUACAACUGACCUAUGUACACAUUUUAGAAAUCACAACUAUUCUGACAGAAAAGUGGAGCAAGCAACGUAAUGUUAAACAUCUUCAUUUUGAGCCUCAUAACUGGCUGGAGACUUAUAAAUAAUUGCUACAGAGAUACCAACAGGCCCAACAAGUGUUAGCCAAAAGGGAGAAAGCCUGGAUGUGCAUGCUGGACACAUUAACACUGCAUGGCCUCAACCUGGAGGAUAGUUUUUAAUUAAUUUAUUAAUUAUAUUUAAUUUGUAUACCUCCCUAUACCUGCAGGUCUUAGGUUGGUUCCCAGGAUAAAAUCAGAAUAUAUAACCACAAAAUGCAUAAUCAAAAUAAAAACAAAAACAACCCAAUAACCCCCCCAACACAUCUUAAAAAGGCACAGGAUGUCAAUCAACCAAAGGCCUGGUUAAAGAGGAACUUUUUUGCUUGGCACUUACAGGUGUAUAAUGAAGGCGCCAGGCGAACCUCCCUGGUGAGAGCAUUCCACAGACAGGGAGCCACUGCAGAAAAGACCUGCUCUCAUGCUGCCACCCUCUGGACCUAUUGUGGAGGAGACACACGAAGAUGGGCCUCAGAAGAUGACCUCAGGGUCUGGGUGGGUUCAUAUAGAAAGAGGUACCAGCAUCACUUAGCUUCAGCAAAUGAGCACCUUUGGAAUUCCAUCCUCCAAGCUCUACAACUGUCACCUUGGAAACAGCAUCAUUUUUAUCAGAGCAACUGAUGAAGGUGCUGAAGCUGAAAUGUUUUGCUGUAAGAAUUUAACAUUUCUCUUUUGCUUAUCAUUGUAGUAGUGAUUGACUGCAUCCUAUCAGGAUCCAGAACAAUCUUCUUCUUCUUUGAAUUUAUAUACCACCCUAUACCCAGAGGUCUGAAGUGUGGAUUGAUGCUUUCAUUUUCUGUCUGUCUCUCUGCAUAAACACCCACCUUUGCCCACUGAAGUCUAGAAUUGUGUCUGGUGUCUUGCUAUAUAUAGCAGUACUCUCAACAAGACACAUAGAUGGAAAAGAUAAUCUGAAAAUUACCGUAUAUCUUAAAAAUGUAAAAAUGUAAUUAGACACAUAUGCCUUUAAAAUGGCAGCACCAAAAAUUAUCCUUAAUUUAAAAGCUUGAAAUCACCAACCUGACCUGUCUUGUGGAACAAAACAUUAUGUCUGUUUACAACCACAAAAGUUUUUGAAUGUUUCAGUGAAUCCAGAAGUUAUACAGAAGGGUAAAUCCAAAAGCAUUUAUUAUUUAACCACUGCUGGGAAAAAUCCACCAGGAGCAAGCUGGUUUUUGUAUCAAUAGAUUAUGAAUUUUCUCAAACUCUGUGGUUAAUGAUGAUCCCUUAUGAAUACCCUCUUAGCUGAAAUUUUAUUUUGUGUAAUGAAAUGGGAACAAAAUCUUAUGAAUAUGCCAGUAGUCUGAAGCCUUAUCUAAUCUACUAUUUGUUUGAGGAUAGUCUGAAUUAAUUCCUCUGCAUAUAUUAGACUAGAAUUCCUAGAAUUGUCUUUGAUAUCUAAAAUAAUUCUACAAAGCGGAAACAUUCUUACCAACCUGUAUUUAUUGCAGUCCAUUUAAUAUCAAUAAUAAUUUAAUGGAAUUUAAUAGAUGUUUUCAAUUCUUCACUUAGAAAAGACAAGAGAGAGAGAUUGUAUUUAUGAAUCCACCCCUCUUUUGAUUACUGUGCCCAAUCAACAAUCCCCGCUGAUUAAUAAUCAUGGUUGAAAAGAAUGAAAAAGAAUCUUAACAUGCUGAGUGAAUAUUAAAUUCGGGUGAGGAGGAAGGAAAAAAGAAUGGAGAGGGGGAUUUGCAUAUGUGAGAUUCAUGUACAUAUAGGGGUAGCCAAGCUUUAUUCGGUCAAGGGUUACGUUCCCUCUGAGAUAAUCUGUCAGGGUCCUUGUGAUGGUGAUAGGUGGAGACAGAGAUGAUGGCUGGACCCAGAACAAAUGUGUUCCUGAUUAGCUAACCCAGAAUGAAGACCACCAUGCCUGAAUUUUCAUCAUGGUUACCUCAGAUUACAAUUCCCAAGCCUAUCUAGGUCUACUAAAAGGAAACACAAAAAUCUGUGUUUGUGGCAUUUUUCUCAAAUAAGCAUACAGGUAAUUUUCUUUAGUGCAAGAGUCCCAUGUAGCCACUGUACCAGAAGUUUCAUUUUGGGUGUUUAUGCACAUACACAUGGCAGAAACCUUUCAGUUUGUUCUCAGACAGCUGCAGGUCCCUGGCUGGGGGACUUUUUCCUAGGUCCCAUAACCAGGGGAAAAGCAAACUAAAGCCAAACUAAAAACAAAUUAAAAACAAAUACCUUUUAUAUAAAUCACAAUAAGAUCUAAAAUAAAGACGCAAAAUUUAACAUAAAUACAGUGGUACCUCAGGUUAAGAACUUAAUUUGUUCCGGAGGUCUGUUCUUAACCUGAAACUGUUCUUAACCUGAAGCACCACUUUAGCUAAUGGAGCCUCCCGCUGCUGCUGCGCCGCCGGAGCACAAUUUCUGUUCUCAUCCUGAAGCAAAGUUCUUAACCUGAGGUACUAUUUCUGGGUUAGCAGAGCCUGUAACCUGAAGCGUCUGUAACCCAAGGUACCACUGUAACAGCAACAGCCCCUGCCCAACAAUACCCCCUUCUAAACAAUACCAUAGCCCAAGCGUUUGGGUGGCCCAAACAGAAAAGCAAAUGAAAAGAGGAAUUCUUUUUCUUAUUUGCAUCUCAGGACUUGUCCACACUUCUGCUUCUCCCAUUGCUAGAGAGUUUGGGUCUGAGCAGUUUUCUGCUUGUCCCAUGCUUUGUAGGCAUGAGUCCAAGCAGAUUUGCCUUUGCCCUACCACUUUCCCCGGGAAAACCCACUAUUUAGCGCUAAAUCGAACAAACAGCAAUCUGUAGAAAAACCUGAUUGCUGUUUGUUCCAAUUCAGUGCUAAACUAUGGGUUUUCACAGGGGGAAGCUGUGGAGCAAACAGGUGUGUGAUUAAGCCAUCAAUCAGAUAAGACUUUUCCCCACACGAGAUGAUGGUUUGUGGCUUGUAAAGGGUUUAAAGGAGAUUGACUGUAACCAUCACUUUUUCUAUGACUGAGUGGUUGGGAUUUGUGUUUGUGUGUCCACCACUGAUCCUGCCGCCUCCAACCAGUUCGGUUCAGUCAGUGUAAGCAAGCCUCAGAGCUGUUCCUGCUUGUUAUCUCUUUGAUAAAGCAAAUGUCUGCUAUGGUGUGCGGCUAACCGGGAGGUGUGCAAUCAUGUGAGCUGGGUGUGCAAGGGACUUGCCUAAUACUGCCUGCUGUCAGAGCAACGCCUGUUCUCCAGCGAUAUCCCAGUCGUGUGAUUAUAGCAUACAGAGACUCUCCUCUCCGGGGAAGCCAGCACGCUCCCAGGCAAUGCGAUAAUCCGCUGGAGAAAGGGGAAGCAGGGCUUUGAAGUGCACAACAUUGCUGGUGGUGCAGGUAUAACAAGCAGCCGAUUCCAGACAGCUGUAUUUCUGGAGAAAAGGGCACGUUAAAGCAAAAUAUCACAGCUGUAAUCAGCAAGUGAUUCAGGGAAUAAUGUUAUUUAUGGCUUGCCUCUAUGCAUAUUUGACUCAAGAGUGAUUUGUUUUUCUUAUUGUCACUUCUUUCAAUUACAUACUGCCUUUGUCUUCCAAGGAUCUCAAGGUGGUGUUCAUGGUUCUCCUCCUUCCCAUUUCAUCCUCACAACAACUCUGUGAGGGAGGUUUAGGCUAAGAGAUGGUGACUGGCCCAAGGUCACCCAAUGAGCUUCAUGACUGAAUGGGGAUAUGAACCCUGGUCUCCCAGGUCCAACACUCUAAUCAUUACGCCACACUGUUACAAAAGCUUGUACAGUGUGUGCAAUAUUAUGAUGUUACAAUAGCAUCAUACUAUUGCAGCUUCAAGACCAUUAGUAACAACCCAAAGGUGUCAUAGCAUAUACAAAGCAAGCAAACAAACAAAGAAACAAACAAAGAAACAAACAAACAAACAGUAGAUAAUAAGAGGAAGAAAUGGUAACAAACCAGUAUAAAUCCAGACAUCCAUAUUUCCCAAACUGGCAUGGAUGGUGAAUUUCAGGCAUCCAAGGCUAAAGCAUAAGAAACACCAGAUGACAUAAAAGUGAUCCAUCCUUCUGGAGACACAUAAUUUAUUUGUGUGUUUUUUUCUACAACCGCCAAGGUCCCUAAGCUCUUAUACAACAAAGACAGAUGUAGAUUUUUCAUGUUUUUCCAUUGUUGGGCUAUUGAAAUCCAAGCUGCAGCUAACAUCCAUGUUGCAAGCUCGUUCAUAUUAUUGGUCUACAUAUUCAGUCGUGACAGUUGUGGGGAGGCCUAAACAGGUGAUUAUUAUUUUUUUUAAAUAGACAUUUCUUGGUAUACUUGAGACCAGAAUAAUGAAACCAAAGGCUGAUUGAAUGCAGAGGGAUUUAUUCUAAACAUAUUAUAUAGCCUGCUCACUGUUUAAUCACAAAGACUGAUAUUUGUAUGUUAUGAAAAGCAAAAGGCAAACAACACAGCACAUCCCCCAAAAGAAACACAUCACCCAAAGAAAAGAUGCACACACACACUCAUAUCACACCAGUUCCUGUGGUUUGUGGUAGAAAGUACAGUUCAUGUAUUUCUAUUUAAAUAACAACAGCAACAGCAGCAACAACAACAACAACAACAGAUUUGUGCAAAGUGCUAAUGAGAAUUUUUAUUAUCUCAGUGUGUUUAAGCUGGUGGCAGCCAAGUCAGCAAAAUUUUUAGCAUCUGCCAUUAAAAUAAGGGCCGCUGUGGUGCUCUCUGAGACUAUAAUUUUUAAUCUGACAAUUUUAUUUGUUCAGUUGUGCCAUUAUGUUUGAUGUUGUUCUCUUUAUAUGAAUUGCAAGGGCUGGUGGCUGAUGCAGAUCCAUUUCUAUCCUUCUACCGAUAGACUCCCCUUCAUGGAUCACUGCCUUGCUGUGGCGAAGGGGCUUGAAUAACUCAGAGAAGCUCUGAGCUAUGCCGUGCAGGGCCACCCAAGACGGACAGGUCAUAGUGGAGAGUUUUGACCAAAUGUGAUCCACCUGGAGCAGGAACCAGCAAGCCACUCCAGUAUCCCUGCCAAGAAAACUCCAUGGACAAAGACAAAUGGCAUAUAAAAGUUAUGACGCUGGAAGAUGAGCCCCUCAGGUCGGAAGGCGUCCAACAUGAUACUGAGGAAGAGCGGAGGACAAGUACAAGUAGAUCCAGAGCUGAUGAAGCGGCUGGGCCAAAGCCGAAAGGACGCUCAGUUGCGGAUAUGCCUGGAAGUGAAAGGAAAGUCCAAUGCUAUAAAGAAAAAUAUUGCAUAGGAACCUGGAAUGUAAGAACCAUGAACCUUGGUAAGUUGGAUGUGGUCAAAAAUGAGAUGGCAAGAAUAAAUAUUGACAACCUGGGCAUCAGUGAACUAAAAUGGACGGGAAUGGGCGAAUUCAGUUCAGAUGACCAUCAUAUCUACUACUGUGGGCAAGAAUCCCGUAAAAGAAAUGGAGUGGCCCUCAUAGUCAACAAAAGAGUGGCAAAAGCUGUACUGGGAUGCAAUCUCAAAAAUGAUAGAAUGAUCUCGAUACGAAUCCAAGGCAGACCUUUUAACAUCACAGUAAUCCAAGUUUAUGCACCAACCACUGGUGCUGAAGAAACUGAAAUUGACCAAUUCUAUGAAGACUUACAACACCUUAUAGAAAUGACACUAAAGAAGGAUGUUCUUCUCAUUAUAGGGGAUUGGAAUGCUAAAGUAGGGAGUCAAGAGAUAAAAGGAACAACUGGCAAGUUUGGCCUUGGAAUUCAAAAUGAAGCAGGGCAAAGGCUAAUAGAGUUCUGCCAAGAGAACAAGCUGGUCAUCACAAACACUCUUUUCCAAAAACACAAGAGACGACUCUACACAUGGACAUCACCAGAUGGGCAGCAUCGAAAUCAGAUUGAUUAUAUUCUCUGUAGCCAAAGAUGGAGAAGCUCUAUACAGUCAGCAAAAACAAGACUUGGAGCUGACUGUGGCUCAGAUCAUCAGCUUCUUAUAGCAAAAUUCAAGCUUAAACUGAAGAAAGUAGGAAAAACCACUGGGCCGGUAAGAUACAACCUAAGUCAAAUCCCUUAUGAAUACAUAGUGGAAGUGAGGAACAGGUUUAAGGAUUUAGAUUUGGUGGACAGAGUGCCUGAAGAACUAUGGAUGGAGGCUCGUAACAUUAUACAGGAGGCAGCAACUAAAACCAUCCCAAUGAAAAGGAAAGGCAAGAAAGCAAAGUGGCUGUCCAACGAGGCCUUAAAAAUAGCGGGGGAGAGAAGGCAAGCAAAAUGCGAGGGAGAUAAUGAAAGAUACAGGAAAUUGAAUGCAGAUUUCCAAAAAAUAGCAAGGAGAGACAAGAAGGCCUUCUUAAACGAGCAAUGCAAAGAAAUAGAGGAAAACAAUAGAAAGGGAAAAACCAGAGAUCUGAUCAAGAAAAUUGGAGAUAUGAAAGGAACAUUUCGUACAAAGAUUACCAUAAUAAAAGACAAAAGUGGAAAGGACCUAACAGAAGCAGAAGACAUCAAGAAGAGGUGGCAAGAAUACACAGAGGAAUUAUACCAGAAAGAAAUGGAUGUCUCGUACACCCCAGGUAGUGUGGUUGCUGACCUUGAGCCAGACAUCCUGGAGAGUGAAGUCAAGUGGGCCUUAGAAAGCACUGCUAAUAACAAGGCCAGUGGAAGUGAUGAUAUUCCAGCUGAACUAUUUAAAAUUUUAAACAAUGAUGCUGUCAAGGUGCUACACUCAAUAUGCCAGCAAAUUUGGAAAACUCAGCAGUGGCCAGAGGAUUGGAGAAGAUCAGUCUACAUCCCAAUCCCAAAGAAGGGCAGUGCCAAAGAAUGUUCCAACUACUGCACAAUUGCACUCAUUUCACACGCUAGCAAGGUUAUGCUUAAAAUUCUACAAGGCAGGCUUAAGCAGUAUGUGGACCGAGAACUCCCAGAAGUGCAAGCUGGAUUUCGAAGGGGCAGAGGAACCAGAGACCAAAUUGCAAACAUGCGCUGGAUUAUGGAGAAAGCUAGAGCGUUCCAGAAAGACAUCUACUUCUGCUUCAUUGACUAUGCAAAAGCCUUUGACUGUGUCAACCACAGCAAACUAUGGCAAGUUCUUAAAGAAAUGGGAGUGCCUGAUCACCUCAUCUGUCUCCUGAGAAAUCUCUAUGUGGGACAAGAAGCUACAGUUAGAACUGGAUAUGGAACAACUGAUUGGUUCAAAAUUGGGAAAGGAGUACGGCAAGGCUGUAUAUUGUCUCCCUGCUUAUUUAACUUAUAUGCAGAAUUCAUCAUGCGAAAGGCUGGACUGGAUGAAUCCCAAGCCGGAAUUAAGAUCGCCGGAAGAAAUAUCAACAACCUCAGAUAUGCAGAUGACACAACCUUGAUGGCAGAAAGUGAAGAGGAAUUAAAGAACCUUUUAAUGAGGGUGAAAGAGGAGAGCGCAAAAUAUGGUCUGAAGCUCAACAUCAAAACAAAACAAAACGAAGAUCAUGGCCACUGGUCCCAUCAGCUCCUGGCAAAUAGAAGGGGAAGAAAUGGAGGCAGUGAGAGAUUUUACUUUCUUGGGCUCCAUGAUCACUGCAGAUGGUGACAGCAGUCACGAAAUUAAAAGACGCCUGCUCCUUGGGAGAAAGGCGAUGGCAAACCUAGACAGCAUCUUAAAAAGCAGAGACAUCACCUUGCCAACAAAGGUCCGUAUAGUUAAAGCCAUGGUUUUCCCAGUAGUGAUGUAUGGAAGUGAGAGCUGGACUAUCAAGACGGCUGAUCGCCGAAGAAUUGAUGCUUUUGAAUUAUGGUGCUGGAGGAGACUCUUGAGAGUCCCAUGGACUGCAAGAAGAUCAAACGUAUCCAUUCUUAAGGAAAUCAGCCCUGAGUGCUCACUGGAAGGACAGAUCGUGAAGCUGAGGCUCCAAUACUUUGGCCACCUCAUGAGAAGAGAAGACUCCCUGGAAAAGACCCUGAUGUUGGGAAAGAUCACAAGGAGAAGGGGACGACAGAGGAUGAGAUGGUUGGACAGUGUUCUCGAAGCUACAAACAUGAGCCUGACCAAACUGCGGGAGGCAGUGGAAGACAGAAGUGCCUGGCGUGCUCUGGUCCAUGGGGUCACGAAGAGUCGGACAUGACUAAACGACUAAACAACAACAACAAACCAAUAGACUCUAAAACUAUAAGUAUUCUGAGUCACGGCUACAAUAUGUGAACUGUGUACCCAGAAGAACAGACGUGAAUAGAAAAUAUAACAGAAUCAUACCCUAAGGCUGCAUUCUUAUAUUCACUUGGGAGUAAGCCCAACUGAAUGCAAUGGGGCUUACUUCUGAGAAGAUAUGAAUGGGAUUUCUCUGUAAAACACCGGUGCAUCACCUCUUCAUACAAAGUCAGAUGUAUAAACAGAAUUUAAACAAUUCAAAGCUCAGGUCAUUGGUUUUGCAUAUGAACUUAUUUCUGAAUGUGCAUAUGAACAUCACACAUUGCACGGCAUGAUGAUAUCUACUACAAGUAAUACCAAAGGGCACUGGCACUCCUAAAAUAUGUAAGAUUCCUGCUGAGCUAGAAUGAAUGAGAGAAUUAUUCAACAGGUUUCCAAAUCUGUGCUUAAAACUGAUUAUUUGAAUCAAAUCUAUUCUUGUCAGACAGAGAGGAAGAUGAACUGGGGAAUCUUUAUCAGUCUCAGGGCUGCAUUCCUGGCCAUAUGUCGGGGGUGAAAAUGGCUAGUGUCAAAGUUACCCUAGCUUCUACACAAGCACAAACCCUUCUCUAGCCUCCAUCUAGGUGGCAACAGGCAUUAUUAGACUUCAGCAUGUCAUGCAGGGCCAGUGAAGGGUCUACAUAAGUGCCUUGUGAAUCAGGCCAAUGGCCCAUCUAGUCCAGCAUCCUCUGCUCACCCAGAUGCCUAUGGGAAACUGGCCUGGGAAAAGUUUCAAGGGCCAGACAGAGAGGCUUGAAUUACUGUAUCCUGAAUGUAUGAAAGGGAAGCAAGAUUCCGCCUGCUGAAACCACCCUUGGCAUCAGCAGUGCCAACUUGGCCCUGUGACCAUGGGUGGCUGGGGCCAUGGGUGCCAUGCUGUGUGCAUGGCCCUGGCACUGACAUUUGUGGGUGCCCAGCCCCUUCAUGGGGAAUUUUGUGGGUGCUCAGGCACCCGGGGCCCCAGGGAGUUGGCACCUAUGCUUGGCAUUCACGUGUCCCCCCUUAGUGUGAAAGAGGCCUGCAUGUCUGUUGGUAUACGUGCAUCAGCUUACUUCCCAUAGUUUGGACCUCUGAUCAUCCAGGAUUCCUGACUGCAUGGGCUAACCUUUCAUGUGCCUAGUUGCAUGUGUAUGGUGAAUAUGGAUGAAUCUGUGGUAGGAAUGUCAACGGACAUUUAAUUCGGACCUGUCUCGAAUUUGGCGGCUGACUGUGUCCUCACCUGUUUCGUGUUGGCCGCAGCACACAAUGCAAAUCUCUGUUCACUCCUCAGUUUACCCACUAUGUCAUUGUCUAAUAUUGGGGGGGGUGUGUGUGUGUUGGCACCGUGGAAAACCACACACCCUGUACAUAAAUAUCAUAGUAGUUUUUCUUUGGCCGCUAGGUGGCGUGGUUGUUCCUCUGCACUGUAGCUUACCAUUCCCCCGGAGCUAAUUGUCAGUUUACACUGUGGCUUUUUAAAGGUAUUUUCCCCCCAUGUACUGUUUUCUGCAUGGUAGAACUCACAUGAGCUUUUAAUAAUUACCUGGUGCCAUUCAGAGGUGCCAUAACCUGGUGCCAUUCAGAGGUUUUGGACUACAACUGGAAUGACAACAUAUGGCUACUGGUAGCAGCUGGAAGACUGCAUGUUUUAGAGCAUGUGAAGUGUUGAAUGGAAUCAUAUAAAUAAUCUAUGAUUAUAACCACAUAGGGAAGUUCCACUGGCAGACAUAUUGAGCUGGGAUACUAAUGGGGAUGGUGAGGGAAAGAGAUUCAUUAUAAGCUUAGUCAGCAGAGCAUGAGUCUCUUAAUCUCAGGAUCAAUAUGCAUCCUUGAAAAAUGGCAAGGUCAUUGGAAGACGUACACAAAGGAAGCACCUCUUUCUUAUUCAGACCUGUGGGUGAGAUUGUACUUAAUGUACUGCCAGCUCUGUGAUGGUAUAAUAAAAUUUGUAUUUGUAUUGUACUGUAUAGCUGAAGGACUAUGCCAAAAAUUAAAUGUAACAGAAGCAAUUCUACAAGUAGAGAUACCAGGCAUGAUCUUUUCAGUCCCCACAAAAUCCCUCUUUGAGUGCACAAAAUGUUAGGCAAAUGAGGCAUCAGUCAUUUUAUUUCACAUUUACUGUAUUGACCUGAAUAUAAGAUGCACCCACAAAUAAGCCGCACCUUGUAAAUUCAAGGCACUAUUUUGAAAACAGGAAAACAGUAAUUAGUCUCCUACACCAUCACCCUGUGCAGUGAACAGGUUCUUACUAAUGAAAGACCCUAAGAAGUGAUUUUUAUUUUUAUUUUUUAUUUUUAUUUUUAUUUAGUAAUGCUGCAGAGUCCUGGAACAGGAAACAAUGACAGGUCACUGGAAUGAAGCUUACAUUAAAGAAGCAGUAGUCACCUUACAAGAAUCAAGAGUGCUUUGCUGAGAUAGUCCACAUUGAUCUUGCACUAUACAAGAGUAAGGUAAAAAGAGUACAGUGGUACCUCGGGUUAAGUACUUAAUUCGUUCCAGAGGUCCGUCCUUAACCUGAAACUGUUCUUAACCUGAAGCACCACUUUAGCUAAUGGGG